UUGUGCCAACUUCGUGUAUUGUUUGAGAUAAGUUGCCAUAAAUUCUUUAGGACAGGUGCUUUGUUCAAUAGUUCAAUUUUUGGGAUGCCAAGACCCCAACUAUUUGGGCUUGCAAAUUGAGUGCCAAAACGAUUGAAUUUAGCAAAAAGAUUCAAAUUACUUCAGUGCAAAAUCCCAGAGCCCAUUUAAAAUAAUUCUAAGCCAAAGCAAAUUCGAUUUUUUUCCAGUGAGAUAUCUAAAUGAUAUGUGGAGGAUUAGCUGCUGGUGGUAAAAGCUAAGGAUUACCUGCUACAUAAAUGUGAAAGGUGAUCCAAGAACUCAAAUCUCCGUUACAACGUCAAACAACUAAUGGAAAAGGUCUCUGCUAAACCUUGGCACCAAGGUUCAUCCUUCCUAAGUGCAUGGUCACGGUGGAUUAUUCUGCUUUAAAGUCACCAUCAAUCGCGUCUCACCUAUUGAACAGGGGCUGGCUUUGCCAAGGGAUAAUAGGGCCAUACGGGAGAGGUUGGAUGCUAACAUUGUCUACCAUAUGGUCCAAUCAUUCUCUCGCUAUUUGGCUAUUAUCCACUUAGCUUGACAGUUCUGUAAUGUUGGCAUAGAGACAUGAUCAUUUGGAGAGGGACGAGUUUGCUGAACUAUAUAAUUCAGGAAUUCAUGGCUGAGAAGAAGUAAUAUGGUGCUGAGAAAACAAAGUCCAAUCAGUUGCCAUUGGCAUGGAUGAUUGCUAUAGUGAAGGUGCAAGCAGGUUUAUUCUGUCGGAUUCAGCGUUCCAGUAAACCAGGUCUGGAUCCCCUCAACCCCUCUUCACGCAGAGGGCCAACAGAUCGAAGAUGAGGCUGGCAAAGUGCAAGUUUGUAUGGAUUCGUCCUGUUAUUGUUCAAAGCGAGGCUGCUACUGAAUCAAUCAGAUGAACAUUAUAAGGCACCUUGGUGUUUUUGUAAUUUUGCUUUUUAAGAUGAUUAAUUGUCCCAAAUUGAACACAUAUUGUAAAUAUUUCCUUUGCUUCAACAUUCAUGGUGUAAAACAUUCUUUUACAUAAAUCUAGUCUUGUCUAAAAUGGUGUGUUUAGACCUUUUGUACUUGUAAUCACUGGAAAUAAGGACUUCUGUACCAAGAGGGCAGGUAUAUAUAUUUAUGAUCGGAGGUUGUUAGCA